GCGGCUUCGGCCGUGAGUAGAGCGGCGGACGGGUGAGGAACACGUGGGUAACCUACCCUUGGGUGGGGAAUAACCCAGGGAAACCUGGGCUAAUUCCGCAUAACAUCCUUAGCUCACAAGAGUUUUGGAUCAAAGCCGGGGACCCUUCGGGGCCUGGCGCCAGAGGAGGGGCCCGCGGCCGAUUAGCUUGUUGGUGAGGUAACGGCUCACCAAGGCUCCGAUCGGUAGCCGGCCUAAGAGGGCGGACGGCCACACUGGGACUGAGACACGGCCCAGACUCCUACGGGAGGCAGCAGUGGGGAAUUUUUGUCAAUGGGGGAAACCCUGAACAAGCAACGCCGCGUGGAGGACGAAGACCUUCGGGUCGUAAACUCCUGUCGGAGGGGACGAAAGCGGCAACGGUUAAUACCCGUAGUCGUUGACGGUACCCUUAGAGGAAGCCCCGGCUAACUCCGUGCCAGCAGCCGCGGUAAUACGGGGGGGGCAAGCGUUGUUCGGAAUUACUGGGCGUAAAGGGCGUGUAGGCGGCCCUGCAAGUCUUUCGUGAAAUCCCACAGCUCAACUGUGGAACUGCGAGGG
rnacentral:rRNA from 1 species